rnacentral:rRNA from 1 species
CCCAGCGUAGUUCGGAUUCAUUGGGCGUAAAGGGCGCGUANGCGGCGGGGUAAGUCUGGUGUGAAAUCUAGGAGCUCAACUCCUAAACUGCACUGGAUACUGCUCUGCUANAGGACUGGAGAGGAGACUGGAAUUCACGGUGUAGCAGUGAAAUGCGUACAUAUCGUGAGGAANACCAGUGGCGAAGGCGGGUCUCUGGACAGUUCCUGACGCUGAGGCGCGAAGGCCAGNGGAGCAAACGGGAUUAGAUACCCCGGUAGUCCUGGCAGUAAACGGUGCACGUUUGGUGUGCGCGGAUUCGACCCCGUGCGUGCCGGAGCUAACGCGUUAAACGUGCCGCCUGAGAAGUACNGUCGCAAGAUUAAAACUCAAAGGAAUUGACGGGGGCUCGCACAAACCGUGGAGUAUGUGGCUUAAUUCGAUGCAACGCCAAGAACUUACUGCGCUUGAAAUGCAUCCUGUCUCCGUGAAAAGCCGACUAAUGUUANCANUACCCCUUGCACCAGGUGCNUGCAUGGCUGUCUU